GAGGGGAUAGCUCAGUGGUAGAGUACAUGCCUUGCAUGCACGAGGUCCUGGGUUCAAUUCCCAGUACUUCUG
rfam:Camelus ferus unplaced genomic scaffold scaffold247, whole genome shotgun sequence.